UGCUGCCUGGUUAAGAGCUGUGU
rnacentral:miRNA from 1 species